rnacentral:rRNA from 1 species
GCUCAGCCCUGGGACAGACCAAUUGUUGCCUCGGCGGAUCAGCCCGCUCCCGGUAAAACGGGACGGCCCGCCAGAGGACCCCUAAACUCUGUUUCUAUAUGUAACUUCUGAGUAAAACCAUAAAUAAAUCAAAACUUUCAACAACGGAUCUCUUGGUUCUGGCAUCGAUGAAGAACGCAGCAAAAUGCGAUAAGUAAUGUGAAUUGCAGAAUUCAGUGAAUCAUCGAAUCUUUGAACGCACAUUGCGCCCCCCAGUAUUCUGGCGGGCAUGCCUGUUCGAGCGUCAUUUCGACCCUCAAGCCCUCGGGUUUGGUGUUGGGGAUCGGCGAGCCCUUGCGGCAAGCCGGCCCCGAAAUCUAGUGGCGGUCUCGCUGCAGCUUCCAUUGCGUAGUAGUAAAACCCUCGCAACUGGUACGCGGCGCGGCCAAGCCGUUAAACCCCCAACUUCUGAAUGUUGACCUCGGAUCAGGUAGGAAUACCCGCUGAACUUAAGCUAAUCAAUAAGCGGAGGA